AUUUGAUCCCGACCAUUAAAUUGGAAUUAAUCAAGGGCCCAUAUUAAUGAUCCAUGUGACUACCUUUCAUCCAAUUAAAAAAUAGAAUUUAAACAAAUAAAGAAAGAAAGAAAAAUAGAAAGUAAAGAAAAUAUCUCCAUGUGACUCCAUUAUGGACACACGGAAGGGCUUUUUUCAAUCCUGAAUAAAAAUAAUAUCUUAUUAUAUCCAUUCAUAAGGCAACAGGUGUCCAUUAUCAAGUGGGAGUUUCACCCAGAUUUAAAAAAGGAAUCUAUUCCUUCGGAGACAGUUGGCGGAAAGAGAGAAAGAAAAAAUACAAAAAGAGAAAAAGAGUCAAUAAAUCUCUCUCUCUCUCUCUCUCUCUCUCUCUCUCCCAACGGUUACAAGAGGAAAUAAAAAAGGAAAAUAUAGGUUCAUUAGGGACUCUCAGAAGGACUCUCUCGAUUCUCCCCAAAAAAAGGAAAAGAGAACAAAAAUACCCUCUCUCUAAACAAACAAAGGAAAAAUAAAAGUAAAAACUCCUCUUCUUCUUUCCAAAACAAAAACGAAAACUUUUCCUCAAAUCUUCCGUCCGUCACCAACAUCUGCCGAAAACCACCCACGCACCAUCUCCAUUAUCUCCACAAAACAUUACCGUCUCCUUCACGAACACAACUUCCUCACCCGCCGGAAAUCUCCCCAACUCACAUCGCCUCCGUCCGCCGUCGCACCCUCUUCAUUGUCGCAUCGUCCACCGCCAAACUCACCUGACAAUCACCAAACCUCCAUACCACCGUCCUCCAUCAAAACGCGAACAACCACACGCCUCCGUCGUGCUUCCACCACGCGCCCUUCAUUCCACUCACCGUCAUCUUUAAACACCCUCUCCUUCCUUUACCUUCACGGUCUGUUUUUUCAACACUCACCACUUCCGUUGCCGACGACAUGAUUCCGACUGUUCGCACUUCCAACCGAGGGUGGUUCUCACUAAGAGUAAAGCUUUGCAUCGAGUCACUUCAUUCCAUCGUUUGUGCUAAGUGUGUUCCUUCCACAAUGACGAUUGCAUCGCUACGGAAUUUCUUGGCAUUUGGUAAUGAUUUUUUGAAUGGAUUUUCAUUCUUUGCGGUUACUGUGUCAUUUUUGGGCGUUGAUUAUUUUGAGUAAAUUAGGAAUGUAAAUAUUAGAUUUGCUUUGAUAACACACUCGUUUUAUUAUUGUUUUUGUAUAUAAUCAAAUUGUGUUGUGUGAUGACUUUAUGAAACCAUGAGAGAGUCAAAGAGAGGGAUAAGAUAAAUGAUGAAUGUUUGAUAUUUGUUUUCUUUCUUUCUUCCUGCGGAUUAUCAAGAGUCGUUCUUGUCUGCUUCGAGUUUGUUUUGGCCAUGUCUCUCCAUUGUUUAUAUGUUAAUAGAUGAAUUUUAUGAAGAGGGAUAAUAAGAGAGGAAGUGAAGGAGGUAAUUGUUUCCUCUAAUUUUCUCUUGUAUGGCUUUGGUUAAUUUUUUUUUACUGUAUUUCACUUUCUCUCAAGAUUUUAGGUUUCCACAUGUAGCUGUAUCUUUGAUAUUUUAUCAUUUGAAGAGUCAAAUGAGUAUAAAUAUUGCUUAAGCCUACGUCGAGAGUAGACAAACCAACGUUUAACCGCUAGGACGCGAUCUAAGCACUUGUUCAUUAAAACACAUCCAACUUAUCAAACCUCUUUCAUCUCCCCCGUGCGAUCGAAACUCUUUUAAAAAAGAACAUUGUUCAAUCCUUUCUGACGCGC
rnacentral:lncRNA from 1 species